CGGAAACGGAGAAUCAGCCGGCGGAACUGAAGCGCCAGUCGGACGGCUGGAAAGUUCCAUGUAUACAAAUGUAGUUUCCAGACUCCUGUGAAAAGUUGCAGUGCUGAUUCAAACAUGCAGGAGGAACAUUAGCCCAGCUGUGAAAAUAGCCACUCCCCUGUGGUCAAAAUCACAAGCUGCUAGCAAAGAACCUGCAAAGCUGGGAGAGAGUUGGUUCUUUUUUUCUCUUUCAGGUACACGUGGCAGACCAACUAAAAAAAAACCAAGUGUGUGUGUGUUGUGUGUGUGUGUGUGCACGUAUAAAAUGUGCAGGAGAAAUAAAUAUGUUAUGCUUUUAAA